UACGUAGGGUGCAAGCGUAUCCGGAAUUAUUGGGCGUAAAGAGCUCGUAGGCGGUUUGUCGCGUCUGCUGUGAAAACUGGAGGCUCAACCUCCAGCCUGCAGUGGGUACGGGCAGACUAGAGUGCGGUAGGGGAGAUUGAAUUCCUGGUGUAGCGGUGAAAUGCGCAGAUAUCAGGAGGAACACCAGUGGCGAAGGCGGCUCACUGGCCCGAUACUGACGCUGAGGCACGAAAGCGUGGGGAGCAAACAGG
rnacentral:rRNA from 1 species